GACGAACGCUGGCGGCGUGCUUAACACAUGCAAGUCGAACGGAAAGGCCCCUUUGGGGGUACUCGAGUGGCGAACGGGUGAGUAACACGUGAGUAACCUGCCCUUGACUUCGGGAUAACUUCAGGAAACUGGGGCUAAUACCGGAUAGGAAUCCUUGCUGCAUGGUGGGGGUUGGAAAGCUUCGGCGGUUUUGGAUGGACUCGCGGCUUAUCAGCUUGUUGGUGGGGUAGUGGCUUACCAAGGCUUUGACGGGUAGCCGGCCUGAGAGGGCGACCGGCCACAUUGGGACUGAGGUCGGGCCCAGCCCCCGCCGGGGGCGGGCGGGGGGGAAUUUGGCCAAAGGGGGGCAACCCGAAAGCCGCAACGCCGGGGGGGGGAGGACGCCCUUCGGGUUGUAACCCGUUUUCGGCGGGGGGGAGGCUUGUGGGGAGGGUACCUGAAAAAAAAGCCCCGGCUAACUACGGG
rnacentral:rRNA from 1 species